CCAGCAAACGAUCUAGGCCAUCCAAAUCCGUCGCCUCUGCAGCCGCCAUUCCUCCGCUGACCUACCCAAGCUCCCGGGCCGACGACCCCCGGCGGCUGUUAAACCUCUCCUAUACCCAGCCGUCCGCCGCGCCGGAGUUCCCAGUUCCACCCACCGCGUCCCAGCUGUCUCCACCAACGUCCCGUGACCCGCCCCCUUCUCCUCCUUCCUCCCAACCAACCACGGCGGCGCGCCCGCCCGCCUCCCCCCCGCGCCGGCGGUGGCUCGUCCCAGCUGCUUCCCUCUCCCCCCUCUGAACCCCUCCCACGCCCGACCCCUCCGCCGCUCUCUGCCCGUCGCCGCCGCCCACGAGCCCGUCGCGGGUCGCCCUCCGCCUCGGCUCGCGCGCCACCUGUCCGCCCAUCUCCCCCCCUCCUCUCUUCUGCCCUCGGCCGUCACUCCGCUCCUGGCUUCUCCGUGAAGCUGACUUCAACGCCACCGCUGCACUGCUGGGAAGAAUCCCCGUGGCGGCACCGGCCGGCCUAUGCGGAGCUGGUAGCUAGGUCCGUGCGUGUCUCCCAUGCUCCUGUUGCGGCGGCAGCGCAAAUGUGUCGGUGAAUGGUGCAGGCACAUCGGAGCUUCACCCACGGAAUCGUCUCCUCGCUGCCGCUUCUCCGUGCUUGCUGCUUCGGUUCAGCCGGAAUACUCCUCGAGCGGCGACGAGAGGCUGAACUUUGCUGCUAAUGAGCUUGCCGAGAGAAGAAGCUGCCCGCUGAGCCCUGCCAAUGUUGUAAAGACCCUUCAGUGCCUCAAGAGGAGGCCUGCUAUUGCAUUCGCCUACUUUAAAGACGCCGAGAGCGUCGGGUUUAGGCAUGACUUCUCCACUUACGCGGAGAUUGUCCACAUUUUAUCCCAUUCAGGCCAGGGGAGGAUGCUGUUUUCCUUGUUCUGUGAGAUCGUCUCGCCGACUAGCGGCGGCGGUCCUGAAAUUGUGCCUCUCAUGGAUCAGCUCAAAAGAACAUGCACUACUUCAUAUCCACUCUUGUUUGCAACUAAUUGCUUAAUCACGGCAUGCACCACUUGCUGCGAUGCACGAGACACAAUUGGAUUAUUUGGUGAGCUUUGUAGGCUUGGAGUUGUCCCGCCAGUUUGGACUUGCAACAUACUUCUCAAAUUUGCAGCUGAGAGCUGUGACUCGGAGAUUGUUCUAUCAGCUUAUGAUGAAAUGAAGUUCUUUAGACUUACUUUGGAUGCUCAUUCAUUGCGCAUUAUCACUAGGUCUCUUUUUCAAGAAAAGAAGGCAGACAAAGCAUUCAAAGUGUGGGUUGAGAUGAUUGAAAUGGGGGUGAAACCAGAUGUACAUGGACACUCAUCAUUUAUAAUUGGUCUUUGUGAGUGUGGAAAAAUUGAUUUAGCUUAUGCAAUUCUGCAAGAGAUCAUCAGGGAGAAGGUUCAAGUUGAGGCCAUAGCUUUUAACGUGGUAAUGGAUGGGCUAUGCAAGGAAAUGAGGUUGGAGGAGGUCGAAAAGCUAUUGGAGAACAAGGUCAGACAAGGAUUAACCCCAGAUAUAUAUGGUUAUAGCUAUCUUAUUAGAAGUUACUGCAAAGUUGGCAACCUACUUAAGGUGUUGGAUCAUUAUCAAGCCAUGGUAUCCCAUGGUUUAGAAGCAAAUUGUCACAUUAUGAGUUAUCUUCUACAAUGCUUUACGAAGUUAGGCAUGGCAUCCCAAGUUACAGAGUAUUUCCAGAAAUUUAGAGAUUCAGGUCUCCAUAUAGAUGGGGUUCUUUAUAACAUUGCUAUGGAUGCUUAUUGCAAGCUUGGGAACAUGGAUGAGGCGGUUAAGCUACUGGGAGAAAUGAUGACUGUGGGCCUGUCACCUGACAGAAUCCACUAUACAUGCCUGAUCAAGGGUUACUGUUUGAAGGGAGAUAUACAAAAUGCAAGGCAAGCAUUUGAAGAGAUGCUGAAGGCCAAUGUAAAGCCAGAUGUAGUUACAUAUAACAUAUUGGCCAGUGGAUUAUCCAAGCGUGGUCUUGUUAUGGAGGUGUUUGACCUUAUAGGGCACAUGGAGGAUCGAGGAUUGCAGCCUAAUUCCCUUACUUAUGGUGUAGUAAUUGAUGGGUUCUGCAGAGGCGACAACCUUAGUGAAGCAGAGGUGUUAUUUAAUAUAGUAGAAGAAAAAGGAAUUGAUAACAUUGAAGUAUUGUACAGUUCAAUGGUUUGUGGCUAUUUGCAUAAAGGCUGGACUGAUAAUGCUUACGUCCUUUUUCUUAGGGUUGCUAAGCAAGGAAAACUUGUGGAUCGUUUCUCAUGUUCUAAGUUGAUAAGUGACCUUUGUAGGGAUGGAAAUUCCCAGGGAGCUUCAACUGUAUGUAGCACGAUGUUAGAAAAGAAUGAUGUUCCUGAUUUAAUUUCAUAUAGCAAACUCAUAUCAGCCUAUUGUCAGACUGGAGAUAUGCGCAAUGCUCGCUUAUGGUUCCAUGAUAUGGUUCAGCGAGGACUUCCUGUUGAUGUUAUUGUAUACACUGUACUAAUGAAUGGUUACUGCAAGAUUGGUCUGAUGCAAGAAGCUUGUGAAUUAUUUGCUCAGAUGACAAGUUUAGGGAUCAAGCCUGACAUAAUUGCAUAUACGGUGCUAUUGGAUGGUCACCUAAAGGAGGACCUGCAGCGACGCUGGCAGGGCAUCAGUAGGGACAAAAGGAGCUUGCUACUUAGAGCAAAACAGAACAGGUUGCUCAGCUCUAUGAAAGAAAUGGAAAUUGAACCUGAUGUACCCUGUUAUACUGUAUUGAUUGAUGGACAGUGCAAAUCAGAUUAUUUAGAGCAAGCUCGGGGACUAUUUGAUGAGAUGUUGCAGAAAGGACUUACUCCUGAUCAUUAUGCAUACACAGCUCUGAUAAAUGGAUAUUGCAGCCAAGGCGAAGUAGCAAAGGCUGAAGAUCUUUUUCAAGAAAUGGUAGAUAAGGGAAUAAAACCAGAUGUACUGACCUUUUCUGUCCUAAAUCGGAGGGUUUUGAGGAAUAGGCAGGAUCAGUCAUAUGUAUGAUUUCCCUUCAGUUAUAUCAACUGAAAAGAUCACGUCAACAGGAAGAGUAAUGGCAUACCAUGCACCACAAGCCAUGCUUGAAUCGAUAAAUCUGGUGGGUACAUAAUUAUGUUUCUCUGCAGUCAUUGUGAUGGUGGUGUGCUCCUGUCACUCUGAGGCCGCCUACAUCAGAAUAUGAAGCCACAGUCCCAUGUUCCACAACUGAAGCCACCAUGGCUCACCGAGCUCAGGCCGCUAUGGCCUGUUGUUGAAGUCAUAGGCUCAUAGCCGUUGCUGUUUGCCCGGAGGUCGGUAGGUAGUAGCUGUUAAUUGCCCAAGAUCAACCAUGGCCACUAUGUCAAAUGAUGCCAGCCUGCCAGCUGAAGUGAUGGAGUGGCAAUUUUCUCCAGUGAAGCAAAGGUGAAUGCUGAUGCUCGUAGUGCAUCGUAACAAGUUCUGAGCUUGUGAUGAUUGUUGUGGAAGAUGGAGAAGAAUGACAGCCUGGUCCUCGGUGCACUUAUUGUUUUUGAGACUGGUCCUAAUAGAAUUGGAGGGGGUGGAUAGAUCAUCAUGUACCUUCGUGGAUCUGUUGAAUUGGAGAAGCUAAAAACUGACACAGGGCUCAGCUCUGCGCUGUUGUGACCCUGGCCUAUGGGCUCUUCAUCUAUGGGGCCCACAUAUCAGUGGCCCCAUUGUGUUCUUCGAAAUGGAUCGAGUCACUUUGUUUGUUACCACCUCUCCCAAACUAACGGAUCUUCUUCUUCAACCAUGUAAAUCAAUGAACAUGUUCUACAUAAUCUGUUUGUUAUUGGAAUUUUGUACUGUGUAUUUUUUGCUA